rnacentral:pre_miRNA from 1 species
GUGUGUUCUUAAGCUAAUGACACUAGUAUUGGUUGAUGUUAUUGCUCGAGAAUACACGU